rnacentral:rRNA from 1 species
UACGAAGGGGGCUAGCGUUGCUCGGAAUCACUGGGCGUAAAGGGUGCGUAGGCGGGUCUUUAAGUCAGGGGUGAAAUCCUGGAGCUCAACUCCAGAACUGCCUUUGAUACUGAGAAUCUUGAGUUCGGGAGAGGUGAGUGGAACUGCGAGUGUAGAGGUGAAAUUCGUAGAUAUUCGGAAGAACACCAGUGGCGAAGGCGACUUACUGGACACAUAUUGACGCUGAGGUGCGAAAGCGUGGGGAGCAAACAGG